UGAACAGAGGGAGAGAGAGAGAGACAGAGUGGGCAGGAGGAAAGCGCUCUGUUCGUCCCCUCCGCCGCCACCACCUCGACUUGCGGAGAGGGGUCGGGCCGAGUGGCGGCGGGAGCAGCCCCUUCCUUCCCCCCGGGGAGGCGACCCCGGCUCGGGGAGCCGCCGGAGGCAGUCACCGCGAAGAGAAGGGGGCGCAGGCAAAGAGAUGCAUUGAAACUUUCCGCGCAAACUUUGGCGUGAGUGCGCGAAACCGAGAGAGCGCGGCGCGGGUGCCUGCUGCCCCGGCGAGGGGAGCGCGGCCGCGGACGGGCGCCGCUGUGGAGCUCGGACUGCCCAGCGGUGGGGGCCGAGCAGCGGCGGCUGGGCGGCCGCGGAGCCUGCGCUCGGCCCGGCGGAGCGCCCGCAGAGAGCAACAGCAACAGCAGCAGCAGCGAGGGCCGGCGGAGAGCCGGGCUUAUGGAGGGGUGAAACCGGAGACCCCGAAGAGGAACCCUCCUUUUCGCGGAGAACCUCGCAGCGCCCGGUCGGCGACACACCAGGAGGAGGCGGCGGCGGCGGGCACGGAGGAGGCGCGGGCGAGAGCGCGGCGGGGCGGCGGCGGCGGGGCGGCGGCGAGGCGGAGCGCGGCGGGCCCCGCUCCGCUGCGUGCGCCGGCAACCAUGAACUUUCUGCUCACUUGGAUCCACUGGGGGCUGGCGGCGCUGCUCUAUCUGCAGAGCGCGGAGUUGUCGAAGGCAGCUCCUGCCCUGGGGGAUGGGGAGCGGAAACCCAAUGAAGUUAUCAAAUUCCUGGAAGUCUAUGAGCGCAGCUUCUGCAGGACAAUUGAGACCCUGGUGGACAUUUUCCAGGAGUACCCUGAUGAGGUGGAGUACAUAUUCAAGCCAUCCUGUGUGCCUCUGAUGAGAUGUGCGGGUUGCUGCGGCGAUGAGGGCCUAGAAUGUGUCCCUGUGGAUGUGUACAACGUCACGAUGGAGAUCAUGAGAAUUAAACCCCAUCAGAGUCAGCACAUAGCGCACAUGAGCUUCUUACAGCACAGUAAAUGUGACUGCAGACCAAAGAAAGAUGUCAAAAACAAACAAGAAAAGUGGGCACAGAAACCCAGAUCUGAUGGUUAUUCCUUCAUACCCCAUUCUUGGAGCCUGCAUGACCCAUGGUCAUGGCAGUCAUUCCUGAUGCUUUAUCCUGAGUCAGGGAGGUCCCGUCUUGUGUGUCCUACCAGAAUGGAUUCAAGGUGCAGCCCCUAAUCUCCCUUCCCUCUUCCUGGGGUGUUUCUGGUUACUGCAAAUCGCUGCCUUUCUUUAUGAUUAAUUUUUUUUCUUGCUGCUUGAGUGAGUACUUGCUGGCUUCUUUCACAGCAGCUUGGGUAGGAACUCUGCUGGCUACACGGAGAGGUGACAAUAGAGGUCUGGUGGAGGCAGGACAGAUGCCAUGCAGGAUGUGGCUCUGGUUUUGGUUGGGUGGGGGCCAGGGAGGGUGUAAAGGGAGGUGGAUGUCCUGUCUGGGUCUUGGUGGAGGCUUUCAUGAGAGUUUUAUCAGUCUGAUGGAUUUGCUCUUGUGACCUGAAGGAGGUUAAGGCACAACCUUCCUUUUCCUUCCUCCCGAAAGUAAAAACGAUGUGGAAAGUAGUGAAAUAAGCUCUUGUCCUGCAGUAGCUGCAGGGAUAAUCACAAAAUGUGGAACAAUACUGAAAAGAAAGUGACCUCUCUGGUGAGAGUCAGCUGGACUUUGCAUGGCUGGGGUAGCAGCUCUGCUGGUCAGAAGUAUGGAGUUGGGAGAGGAAGUGAAUGAAUACUGGGAGAUGAGGCUGAGCAGAGAGCAAGUGGGAGAGUGAGAGAACUUCUUUCACCCCUCUCCUGGGGGUUGUGUAUUUCUAGCUGCCUUCCAGCCUCUCCUCCUCCCCUUGGAAAUCUGCUCGUGGCUGCACUGGGCUGUGUGCAGCUGGCACUCCUCUCUGAGCAGGGCCAUGCCGGGGGUGGUCGGUCUGCGUGGCUCUGUGGUUUGAAGGUGUGCGUGAGUUGGGUCUGUGUGAACUCUGGUGAGGAUGGGUGUGGGUGAAGCAGCCAGCCUGGACUGCGUUGCAUUCCCUUUCCUCUUCUAACAGCACCUUGUCCGCUCUUUGCUGGUUCUGCACUCCCUGGGGAAGGAAGGGAAGGAAUGGGAGAGACUGGUGUGCUUUGAUUUGUGCUGGAUUGAAAGUCCUGUUAUAUUGGUGCCCCUCUCCUCCCUUCAGGUCGAUUUUCCUCCCCUCACCGCCUCCUUGUGACUCCUGACAUGUAGGGCAGAGGCUGGGAGCGAGCUGAUGCUCUGACACUCAUUCCAGUGAGACGACUUGAACAGGGCUUAAGAAACACCUGUGGUGCUUUCCCUUCUGUCCCCCAUGUCCCCAUCACAGCUUCCUCCUGAGGUGGGCUGUGCCAGGGAAUGAGGGAGCCUUUGCUGAACUACUGCAAUGCUGGGGCUCACUUGCCUGACAAGCCCUGGUGCUUUGCCUAGGGCCUUCUCCUUGCAUGUCUCUCCUUUGGUCCUGUGCUAAUGUGGCUCAGGAGUAGCGCAGGCUCCAGCCUCCCUCUCUCCCUGCGCUCUCACUGGCCUGUAGAGGUCCACUGUUAGUGUCUAGGCCUGCCCAAGAGUCAGGAGCUACUGGUGGAUUUUUCAGAAUGGAGUCAGUGCCUUGGCUCCGACUGCUCAUCUCUCUGGCAGAUACACGUGGAAGGCAAUGGGAAGGAGGGAAAGGAGGGAAAAUCUGAAAGCUGCUUGCUGGUUAUCUCCUGGGUGUCAUAACUAGGUCAGGCCUCCCUUUUUCCCCUCCAGUGUUCAGGAUAGAGGCUGCCAGAGGGGAGGUUAGCAGACAUCCGGUGAGGUCUCCUGGAGCCCUCCAAACCACACGCAGGAGGUGGGAUGGGUAAGCAGAGCCUUCAGGCUAGAUAACUCUCCCACACAGUGCUGCUGUGUAGACGAGGUCUCACCCCUUGUCUGCAGGGUGCUGAGGCGAGGCCCCCUUUGCUUCCAUCCCAAGGCAGGAUCACCACCACCCUGGCAGCAGAGCUGUUGGAGCUUGGCUGCCCCCUCCUAGGCCUGGUGCUGGGAAGUGCAUCAGGUCAGAGCAGUUUCCUUUUCCCUGGGGAGAGCCUCUCCCCUCAGGUUGCCUCUUGUCCGUCAGUGUGCGCCCAUGCUUGUCGCUUGGAACGGUUGUCUGCACUCCCUGCGGUUGCGUGAUGCUUUCACAAAGCUUUCUGUUCCUUCCCCUCACACCCUGUCCCUUCCCCACUGCCCCUCUGAUCUGGAGGGGCAGCAGAUCUGCCUCUGCUGGAAGAAGCCCUGCUGGCGCUGGUCUCUGAGUCUCCUGGCACUGGCUUGGCCAUGGGCAGGCUGGUUGUGGUGCUGGCAGGAGCGCAGAAGGGCCGGUGAAUGUGUGUGCGAGGUGGAGAUCUAUGCUUCGGCCUUGGGACCUGCCAUCCAGUCCUGCCCCAUGUGCUUCCCCCUCCCAGCAAGGCACAUGGCUGUAUUUUUUUUCCUCCUCUUCCUUGCGUUUUCUUCUGUUUUCUCUCUCUCUCCCUUUCUUUCCUUCUCUCUCUCUUUCUCUGUUUUUUUGUUUUGUUUUUCUUCCAGAAAAUCAAAGCGAGGAAAGGGGAAGGGUCAAAAGAGAAAGCGCAAGAAAGGCCGGUACAAACCACUCAGCUUAUGUGAAAAACCGAGACGGUGAGCAGCGGAAAAGAAGGGGGAACAGCCCUGUUUCUGGAGCCUGAUUUCUCGCCUGGACAGAAAAAAAAACAAAACACUAAUCCAAAUGAACCCUAAAAAUGAAGGAUCGGUAGAGCACAGCACUUUCAGUACGGACGAUGGACUCCGGAAGGAACAUUCCCCAAGGCACCCGCCGCACAGAAUUCACCUUUGGGUUUUGAACUGUUUUAUUUUAUUUUCUUUUCAUGCUGCUAAAUAACAGAGCCAGGAAGACUAUAGGGGUGUAUUUGAUGGGUUUUGCCAUGCAUAUAUAUAUAUGUGUGUAUACAUACAUAUACAUAUAUAUAUAUGUAUAUAUAUUUUAACCACAUCUAUAUAUACAUAUAUGUAUAUCUUAACCACACACACACAUAUAUAUAAAAUAUAUAUAUAUACUGAUUAUUUUUUUUAACAUUGCUAAUGUUAUUGGUGUCUUCACUGGAUAAUACUCGACUGCUGUGGACACAAGCGGGCUACUUGGGGCAUAAGAAACAAGCUAAGACUGGACUUGAGUAGAAGCGCUGGGUGUAAACUUCUUAACUCUAACUGACUUGUGCGGCCUCCGCUGUUUCUCUGUAGAGUGUGCUGUACCACAGACCACCUUCUCCUUGCCUGGGACAGGGAGGAGAGGUGAUGGAGAGGAUGGGCAGGGAGUUCCAAAGAGCGGCAUCCUAGGGUGCGAUGGGUCAAAGGCCAAGGAAAUGGCCAUCUCCGUGAUCAAGGAUUCCUCCUCCCCUCUCUUCCCCCAACCUUCGCCCUUACUCGUCUCAUAACCUGCCUGCCUUGCUGGGACAUGGGAUGUCAGUGUACAUUUUGCGUUGACUUUAUUCGCUGUAGAAACUUUGCCAGAGAAACGUGCUGGCUUCUCUUAAGGAUGGUGGGCAGCUGAUGCACACUAACUUUCCAUUCAAGGAAGUAUCACAGGAAUCUAGAUUUCCCGCCCUUGGUGGCUGCAAAAGGACACAAGGCCUACAGUGUGCUGAAGCAAGAAUGGGGACCGGUGCAUAGCCACACAGUUAUUCAGCACUGUCUGCUUUCUUCAUGCACAGAGCUGCCACUCAAGAGCAUCCAAGAUGCUUAUGGAACAUUUCUGGAAAGGGAUAUUAAUCAAAAGUAUAUACACAGUAGGGGGGUGUGUGUGUAUGUGAAUGUGUGCAUUUGUGUCUGUGUGUAUGUAUGCUUGUGUUUUUCUGUCUUUUUUAUAUAUAUAUAUUUAUUUUUAUACAUAUAUAUAUAUAAAAAAAAAUAAUAUAUAUGUAUGCCAAGAUUGAAGGGGGGAAUAGAAUACAUUUUUUGUUGCCUUCAGUUUAUGUGCCCGGUGUGAAUGACCCUUAAGAACGUGAAGAUUUUUUUCUUUUUUUAUGACAUACUGUAAAUAUCAGGCCCCUUUUCCAUGUCUUGGGCUGGGGAAUCAAAUGUGAAGGCAGCCGGAAUCCCUAAGCCGUGUCCAAGAAUCUUGGCUAUGUGUGUAUCUGCAAUAUACACUGUGGUGUAUGUGAAACCCACCGUACACACGCGCGCACACACACACCCCCCUGAAAGCGUGUUUGUACAUCUAUGUGGAUAUAUAUAAUCUAGUUCUGUGAUUAAAAUUAUUAUUAUUAAUAAUAAUAAUCAAAAAGGUACUCGGUCUGUGUCAGAAUGCUGCCAAACAUCAUCUGCAAUUGAAUUUUCAACGCCUGAUAAUGUACAACACGGAAAGCUUCCAAAAAGACAAGACAGUCUAAAAACAGACUCACAAGUGACUACUAACCACUAGGAACUCCCCAUCCGACUGGUGGCUGUCAGGAGGAGGCAAAACACGCGGGUGGGUGCUUGCAUCUGCAAUGUGUAAUACUCAUGCUGCAUCGUGCGCAAGACAGAGGCUUCCGAUCGGGGGGAGGGAAGAGAAAGUGUUUUAUAUACUUAUUUAAUAUCCCUUUUUAAAUUAGAAAUUAAACAGAUAAUUUAAUGAGAGAGUAGGGAUUUUUCAGUAUUCUUUGUUAAUAUUUAAUUUCAACUAUUUAUAAGCCGUACCUCUUUUUUUUUUUUUUUUUUUUUAUUUGUACUGGUUGUGUAUAAAUUUAACCUUCCCCUUGUCCCGUCCCAUCUCUCCCCAAUUGUUGGCAGAGUCAGUAGCAUGUUAUGGGCAGUUAUUUAAUUAAUUUCUCUAACACCUACCCCUACACAUUCCUAUUGAGACAAGAGUUAGAUAUACAUCUACAUACUAUAUAUAUAUUUGGCUAUGUGUUUGUAUAUAUAUAUAUGUUUAUGUAUAUGUGUGAUUCGGAUUAAAUAGACGCUACGAUUUUUUUAUAUAUGUAAAAAGAAGAAACAGGAAAAAUAGAAAAUUCUACAUCUUGAAUCUCUCUCCUUUUUAAUUUUAAUAUUUGUUAUCAUUUUAUUUAUUGGUGCUACUGUUUAUCUGUAAUAAUUGCGGGGAAAAAAGAUAUUAACACUACAUAUUGUGUCUAGUGAAUUUUUUCAAGAUAUUCCUUAGUACAUAUUUAUUUUUAAACAAAGAAAUUACAGAUAUAUCUUAAACAGCGACGACGACGACAAACAAACUUUUUUUUGUAUUAAAGAAUUUAAUUCUGACCUUGA